UACGGAGGGUGCGAGCGUUGUCCGGAUUUAUUGGGUUUAAAGGGUGCGUAGGCGGUCUGGUAAGUCGGUGGUGAAAGCCCGGGGCUCAACCCCGGAACUGCCAUCGAUACUGUCAGACUUGAGUACGGUUGAGGUUGGCGGAAUGGGCGGUGUAGCGGUGAAAUGCAUAGAUACCGUCCAGAACCCCGAUUGCGAAGGCAGCUGACUAAGCCGUAACUGACGCUGAGGCACGAAAGCGUGGGGAGCAAACAGG
rnacentral:rRNA from 1 species